AGUAUCAUUCAGGAUUUGAAAUUUUUCCUAAGUCCUCUUUUUGGUGACAUGUAUAAACAGAGGUAGACUAUAAGGUUCCACCAUUCUUGAUUGAAAAUAGGUAAAAACCAGACUAAUUUAGUGCAAUCAUUGAAUACCAUAUGAGGUUAAGUAUUUCAGAUGUUAAAAAGUUCUUCUUGCUGGUUAUUAAUUACAGCUGUGAACUUAAUUGGCUCUCUAAUGAUUGAUUGAAUAUACCACUCCCCAUUGCAUGUUAGAUUAAAGACAUCAUUUAGGGGAUCUGUUAGGUAACCAGUAAGAAUGGCAUUCCACAUAGUACUAUGAGGUCCUAACACAUCACUAACUAAUAAUAAAUCAAUUAAUCAGCCAGCAGGAAGUGAUGUAAUAUCAAGGGAGCUAUAAAGGGAUGUCCUUAUAUUGCCUCUCAUUCUGUAGUUGGGAUUCAGUGAGGUUGCACUUGUUCCUGUAAAAAGGAAUAGUUUCGUUCAGGAUUUGAAAUUUUCCUAAGUUCUCUGUUUGGUGACAUGUAUAAACAGAGGUAGACUAUAAGGUUCCACCAUUCUUGAUUGAAAAUAGGGAACGUAACAUCAUCUAAUUUCAACCAAAUUUAUAUAUAUUUUUUUGAAGUCUAUCUAGGUAUGUAUUGUACAAUGAGUUGUAAUGUGGAUAUAAUUGUGUGUAUAUUGUGAAUUUGAAGUUUUAUGUGGACUUUAAUUGGAGUGUUCUAUAACUAUUGGUGGUUUCUGAUACUUGUAGACCCUGCCCUUUGUAUCAUUUCCAUCAGCUGAAUUGAUGUUGAUUAUGUGGAUAAAUACGGAGCUAUUUGAUUUAUAUUGACAUUCAUAAUAUUCUUUCGACUUUCCCUCCCUUUUCUCUUCUUUUGACUCUCCCUCCCUCUUCCUUUUAUCAUUUGUAUAAGGAUAAUGUUUAUUGAUUAUUAUAACGAUAAUGUUUCAGAUAUUAUAUUUAUCGAAUUGAAUAUGUGAUUGGAUGUAAUCAUUGGAUAUUCUAAACCUUUCUAAUCAAUGGUAAUCACUCCUACUAUAAGAACUGAUUCCAAACCCCUGAUGAAGUCAUAACGGACGAAACGCGUUGGGUUUUGCAACGUCUGGUUAACAAAGUCCUUAUCACAAACAUCUGGUUGGAGAUACAUCCAUUUCGAGUUCUGACUGUGAUCACCUGGCUGUAAAAUCCUCACAUCCAACUGUAAUUUAUGUAUAAGAUUGUAAUAUUGUUUUAUAUGAAUUUUUAGAAGGUUGUGUCAAUAACGAACGCUUAGGAUAAAUAUCGUUUGUUUCUGUACAAUAAAAACUUUUAAUUAUUGUCAUACA